rnacentral:misc_RNA from 1 species
UUCACUAUUAUAUAGUACUCAGACAUCACUAACAUUGAGAGUUUGGUCCUCUGGCAGGCACAUGCAGGCUGAGCCCACAGUGGGAGGCCACGGCCUGCCAAAGCAACAAGAGUAUAUAGACACGGAUGGGGUAUACCCGAAGGUAUCCUUUUAUUAAUGAUCCUUCCGCAGGUUCACCUACGGAAA